UACGGAAGGCAGCAGUGGGGAAUAUUGCACAAUGGGCGAAAGCCUGAUGCAGCUAUGCCGCGUGUAUGAAGAAGGCCUUAGGGUUGUAAAGUACUUUCAUCGGGGAGGAAAAAACAAAACUAAUAAUUUUAUUUCUUGACGUUACCCGAAAAAGAAGCACCGGCUAACUCCGUGCCAGCAGCCGCGGUAAUACGGAGGGUGCUAGCGUUAAUCAGAAUUACUGGGCGUAAAGAGCACGUAGGUGGUUUUUUUAAAGUCAGAUGUGAAAUCCCUGGGCUUAACCUGGAACUGCAUUUUGAAACUGAAAUACUAGAGUAUCGUAGAGGGAGGUAGAAUUCUAGGUGUAGCGGUGAAAUGCGUAGAUAUCUGGAGGAAUACCUGUGGCGAAAGCGGCCUCCUAAACGAAUACUGACACUGAGGUGCGAAAGCGUGGGGAGCAAACAGGGAUUAGAUACC
rnacentral:rRNA from 1 species